GGCUGGCCCCUGCCAUCAUUUGUUGCUUUCCAUUCCAGGGUGUUGUAUCAGCAAGAAGCUGGACUGGGGAACGCAGCUGGAAGUCAAAGCCCGAUCCUGUAAUAUAGGCUGUGGGUGUCCCAAGUGGCCUGCUGCUCUCCCCUCGCUCUUCCCCCCAGCUCUCAUCUAUGAAGCACUUAUUAGCUAUAUUCAAGAGAACUCACUUUAUUCAGAGUCGGCCAAAUGAAUAAAUCUUCGAGGGGAAAGCUUUGAAAGCUUGGCGGCACCAUGAAACAUCACACAUGACGUCUGACUCAGGGACAUGCAAAUAUCCGCAAAAUCGGAGAAAGCGUGGAGAUACAGAUCUUCUGUCUGGGUCCAGUGGACUAGAGGCUCGGUUUCCGUAUCUCUCACCCCAUCUCUGCAAUCUUCUGUGACAUCACAGACAAUAGGAAAUGGCCACAGUAAGGCUAGGUCCUCUGAAAAACUCUGGAACAUGUCCGUAACGUGACCUUUGCCAUGAUCUUGGGUUCUUGGAAAGUCCCAGAAGAGGAGAGAGAGGGCUUCUCUGGUUCCAGGAUGAGAUCUUUCCUUUUACAGCUCCAGCGGUAAGCAGUGAGCUGACUGACCCACAUUGUUUUCUUUAAACAAAGUAGAAGGAUCUGUUCGCUUGGUUCCACUAUUCUUAAUGCGGGGAUAUGGCUCUUACUUGGUGGCUGCCAAGUGGGAUGCAGCUCUUACUGACUGGAUAGGUUAGAGUGCAUGAUGUUUGCACUGACUGGGGAGUCAUGAUCCUACCAUAUACCAUAUGCUCUUAGUUGAUGGGAUGAUGGUUACUAAACACAGCCGCUCCCCGCUUCCACACGUUGUGGAAUGAGACAUUCCACUGGUUGGUGCCGGGACUCCUGAACUUCCACGACUCUUCUUUCAGACUCAUUUAUUUGGGGGGGAUAGAUUUGGUCAAUUCACUUUUUGAACUUCAGCUUUCUUACUUUUUUUUU